GAUGAACGCUGGCGGCGUGCCUAAUACAUGCAAGUCGAGCGAACAGAUGAGGAGCUUGCUCCUCUGACGUUAGCGGCGGACGGGUGAGUAACACGUGGAUAACCUACCUAUAAGACUGGGAUAACUUCGGGAAACCGGAGCUAAUACCGGAUAAUAUAUUGAACCGCAUGGUUCAAUAGUGAAAGACGGUUUUGCUGUCACUUAUAGAUGGAUCCGCGCCGCAUUAGCUAGUUGGUAAGGUAACGGCUUACCGAGGCAACGAUGCGUAGCCGACCUGAGAGGGUGAUCGGCCACACUGGAACUGAGGCACGGUCCAGACUCCUACGGGAGGCAGCAGUAGGGAAUCUUCCGCAAUGGGCGAAAGCCUGACGGAGCAACGCCGCGUGAGUGAUGAAGGUCUUCGGAUCGUAAAACUCUGUUAUUAGGGAAGAACAAAUGUGUAAGUAACUAUGCACGUCUUGACGGUACCUAAUCAGAAAGCCACGGCUAACUACGU
rnacentral:rRNA from 1 species